rnacentral:rRNA from 1 species
UACGGGGGAUGCAAGUGUUAUCCGGAAUUAUUGGGCGUAAAGCGUCUGUAGGUGGUUUAAUAAGUCUAUUGUUAAAGCUUGAAACUUAACUUCAGAGAUGCAGUAGAAACUGUUAAACUAGAGUAUAAUUGAGGUAGAAGGAAUUUCCAGUGGAGUGGUGAAAUGCGUAGAUAUUGGAAAGAACACCAAUUGCGAAGGCAUUCUAUUAAAUUAUUCUGACACUCAGAGACGAAAGCUAGGGUAGCAAAUGGGAUUAGAUACCCCAGUAGUCCUAGCCGUAAACGAUGGAUACUAUAUAUUAGACGUUCGCCGUAGUAUUAAAGCUAACGCGUUAAGUAUCCCGCCUGGGGAGUAUGCUCGCAAGAGUG